CUGGCUCAGGACGAACGCUGGCGGCGUGCUUAACACAUGCAAGUCGAACGGAGAACUUUCUUCGGAAUGUUCUUAGUGGCGAACGGGUGAGUAACGCGUAGGCAACCUGCCCUCUGGUUGGGGACAACAUUCCGAAAGGGAUGCUAAUACCGAAUG
rnacentral:rRNA from 1 species